UCGGUAUCAUUCAAUAUGCCGUGUUAUUAGGAAAAGUUUAGACGUGUGACGAAACGUUCCCGAGUAAAAUCUGUUAAACUAAACGUCUUGAUGGUGCUGCUGUUAUCGUAGUGGAAAUGAGGCUGUGUCGGGGUUUUAUGCACGUAACGAGAUAUCACCUUGAAAGUUCACUGCAACUACUGCAACCCUGCAGGGUCGUCGCACUCCGGUUUACAAAUUUCGACACGAGGACGAGGGAUCAGUCGUUUCGCGGAAAGUGGUGUGGUAAGACGUGUUUGGGGUUCUCCACGGCCAACAAGGAACGACAACCACGAGAAUGGCCGGCGUCACGCGAAACGAGCGCAGCUGGCUGAACCCUCGAGAAGCUGGCCAAAAGUCGGAGAAGGCUUUGGAUUUAAAUCAACGACGUCGUCAGGGACGCUAACGAUAAGAGCGCAUUCCGGUUUUCGUAACGUUCCCAGCGAUUCUGGUUUAUCUCGCGGAGCUUUUCGAGGGACAAACGGAACAAGGAAGCGAAAGGUAGGACACGGAGCGGAGGAACGCUCGAAAGAACGAAACGACAGGGACGGAGGAGAGUUGGCGAAAGAAGGUGCACACAGAGGGUAACGCAGAAGUUCGACCAUGGAACGAGGGUGAACUUUCAGCUUUUUAAGCUGUUUCGCUCCACUCCGUGACUUUGCACGGCCCGUUCAGGGUUACCAUGGCCUCGAACUACCCAGGACCCUGGGGAUAUUUGUUUAAGCGUCUUCGUCGACGACAAUUUCCCUGAGAGAAUUGCUUUCCAAACGCUGUGCCAGUUUGCACUUCGUGCCGUCCGCGUUCCUACUUCGUUACCUCGAAUCCUGUUGCUUUCCACCGUCCCUUUUCUUGAAUUUUUAACCCUCCACUGUUCGAGUCUACCGGGGCUGUCGCGCAGGCUCUGUUCGCGGGGUUGCUUAUCGCGGCCGAGGCAAGAAACUCCAUUGCUUCUAAAAAGCUCACGACACGCGAAUGGGUCUCGCGAGAAGAAGCUAGAAACGCGGGGAAACUCGACGGGUUUAUGAACAGUGGCGUAUUAUCCAACCUCUACGGGGUUCGGGACAAAAUCGUAUCUCGAGGACUGCACCUAAAGAAAAAAUGAAUCUGGAACACAUUUAAAUUCAACCUUAUUUUACUUAUACAUCACAAGAAGCAAAUUCUUAUGUUAAUAGAGAAUUAAUUUGAUAAAUUCGUUUGCUCUCCCUCUCUCGGUCGACCUUGGUAGUUUAUCGUUAGACAUUUGUAAAUUUGAAAGGAAUACUCAAGAAAUCAUAUGGAAGGGGUGCGUCAGCACUAAUGUUCGAUCAAUUUUCCCUGUGAAUUUAUCUUGUCGUCAGCAAACUUCGUCAGACUUACGAAGCCUCCUCAGAGGGGACAUCCGAGUUCGUAGGGUCAACUUCCGUCCCCAAUGGGUCAAAGAGUGCAAGCGAAUAGAUAUCGAAAAAUAAUAGCAGCAACGCUCGAUACGAACAAAUCACGGGUUUACCUCGACGUUUCACGUAUCAGAUAUUCAUCCGACGCGCAAUGGAAUCGACUCGUUCGGCUUUUAGGCUGUAACGUCGUUGAAUAACGUGUAACGGCGAUAUCGACGAUAAUUGUCGUUAAAGCAAACGUUGAAAUGUUCCGCGCGUCCUAUUGACACGAACGCGACCGACGGCGAUUUAAUUCGGCGCGCGAUAGUUUCGUGCUCGCCGAGAAAUCACGGUUCGUCAUUCGAGUCGCGACGAUGAUUCUAGCAAAUCGUGUUCAUCCGAAUUCUCUGCCGAGAACGAGAAUAUCCGUGAACGUACAGCGUCGAAAAUGUCAACCGUCUCUUUCAACACGCGAUACUCCCCCAGGAGCGAAGCUCCGUUCGAAGAUUUCUCAGGAGCUGAAAUAUUCAUCUCGACGAUGGAACUUGCUCGUAAGAACGGCGCGAAAAAUUUUCCAAAAAUUUCCACUCGAACAGGGCACAAACACGCGAGACUACGUUGUCGAUUGGACCACAAUGAUAUAGCGUUCCACUACCUGGGAAAGUGAGAUUAAACGAUUUUGGGAUUUAUUGGGGAUUCGUGCUCUUUGUUCGUGCAAUUUAUCGAACGGUUCCGUAAUACUCGAGUAAAAAUUUGGAAAAUUUCAGCAAUCGUGGAUUCUUAAGUUCUAUCUUUACCUAAUUGCCGCGUGAAGUAUGAGUUCGAAUAAUUUUGACAGAGCAAUAGUUUCCGGGGUUGCUUUGUUAUUCGAAGUAACGGGUGUUACGCGUGAUUUUCUAAGUUUGGAGUUUCGAACGUCUUCAACUUAUAGCUUCGGUCUUUCCUCAGCUCCAUUUUUGUAGGAAGUGGACACAUGAAAGUGUAGGAAUUAAAAAUAAGAGGAAACAGUAUCAAAAAGAAAUUGUUAACGAGAAACAAUCCGCUGCUCACACAAAGUUAUUUGUUAAGAAAUUUGUCCUCAUACUUUCCCUCAAAACCUACUUUUUUAAAAUCUGCCUCGACGGUAGAAGGCCAGAGAGUCAUUUAACAAGUACGC